GACGAACGCUGGCGGCGUGCUUAACACAUGCAAGUCGAACGCUGAAGCUUGGUGCUUGCACUGGGUGGAUGAGUGGCGAACGGGUGAGUAAUACGUGAGUAACCUGCCCUUGACUCUGGGAUAAGCCUGGGAAACUGGGUCUAAUACUGGAUACGACAUGUCACCGCAUGGUGGUGUGUGGAAAGGGUUUUACUGGUUUUGGAUGGGCUCACGGCCUAUCAGCUUGUUGGUGGGGUAAUGGCUCACCAAGGCGACGACGGGUAGCCGGCCUGAGAGGGUGACCGGCCACACUGGGACUGAGACACGGCCCAGACUCCUACGGUAGGCAGCAGUGGGGAAUAUUGCACAAUGGGCGGAAGCCUGAUGCAGCGACGCCGCGUGAGGGAUGACGGCCUUCGGGUUGUAAACCUCUUUCAGCACGGAAGAAGCGAAAGUGACGGUACGUGCAGAAGAAGCGCCGGCUAACUACGUG
rnacentral:rRNA from 1 species